ACGAACGCUGGCGGCGUGCUUAACACAUGCAAGUCGAACGAGAGGACAAGAGAAGCUUGCUUCUUUUGGAAUCGAGUGGCAAACGGGUGAGUAACACGUAAACAACCUGCCUUCAGGAUGGGGACAACAGACGGAAACGACUGCUAAUACCGAAUACGCUUGGAAGACCGCAUGAUUUCCAAGGAAAGGGUGGCCUCUACCUGUAAGCUAUCGCCUGAAGAGGGGUUUGCGUCUGAUUAGGCAGUUGGUGAGGUAACGGCCCACCAAACCUACGAUCAGUAGCCGGUCUGAGAGGAUGAACGGCCACACUGGAACUGAGACACGGUCCAGACUCCUACGGGAGGCAGCAGUGGGGAAUCUUCCGCAAUGGACGAAAGUCUGACGGAGCAACGCCGCGUGAGUGAUGACGGCCUUCGGGUUGUAAAGCUCUGUUAAUCGGGACGAAAGGCCUUCUUGCGAAUAGUGAGAAGGAUUGACGGUACCGGAAUAGAAAGCCACGGCUAACUACGUG
rnacentral:rRNA from 1 species